rnacentral:lncRNA from 1 species
AUGGGGCCCAUACGCUUCAUUCUACUUACUCUGCUUCUCUGUUCGAGCCAAUGUCUGGGUCAGGAAGCUCCCCCUGCUGUUACCCAGGUGGAUGUGAAAACCCGCAAUGAGACUCACAUAGAGCUAGAGUGGACCAAAGUCAACAACAUCUUACAUACUUACAUACUGAUAUUGGAUGGAAAAGAAACCCUCAUCCCUGGAUCAGAUGGGGACAAAGUGACACACACUGUGUCAUCUCUCUCUGCUGGAACAAAAUACUCGUUCACUCUCUUCACCGUGUUUGAGGAAGCUAAAAGCACAGGACAUGAUUUCUCAGCAGUGACAGCUCCCCCUGCUGUUACCGAGGUGAUUGUGAAAGAACGCUCUGAGACUCACAUAGAGCUAGAGUGGACCAAAGUCAACAACAUCAACACUUACAUACUGAGAUAUAGCAAUGAAACAGAGACCAACAUCACUGGAUUAGCUGGGAAUACAGUGACACACAGAGUGUCAUCUCUCUCUGCUGCAACAAAAUACUCGUUCACUCUCUUCACGGUGUUAGAGGAAUUGAGAAGCACAGGAUAUGAGUUCUCAGCAGUUACAGUUGUCUGCAGUCCGAACUCUUGUCCUCCAAACAGCAUAUGUGAGGAGCGUGCUGAUAACACAUUCACCUGUGUGUGUCCCGGUGGAUUCAUCUUUAAUGACAUUUUCUGUCAAAAAGGUACAAUUGUAGCGCUCUCUCACAGACAAACGCUCACACCCUAAAAGUAUAACUGAGGCGGCAACUGAGAUAGAAGAGUGUAUUCUCUCCAUAGAAACUUUUCUGAGAUAGAAGAGUGUAUUCUCUCCAUAGGGACUGUUCUGAGAUAGAAGAGUGUAUUCUCUCCAUAGGGACUGUUCUGAGAUAGAAGAGUGUAUUCUCUCCAUAGGGACUGUUCUGGGAUUGUUACUUGAAUCGUGUUCUUUGAAUUGUAGCGAAAGUCUUCCCUGGGGAGCUGACCUUGACAACACUACAUACAACAGAGAUGGACGAUAAAACCUCUGAGCUUUUUAAGACAACAUCGGAGGAGAUUGUCAGUGCGGUAAGUUACCACCAGGACACUGGCACGUGUUCCCUGUCAUAAUUACAAUGCAGUUGAGGUUAAUUUGUAAAGACUUUGACAAUCAAAUACUGUAAGCUGGAUGACAUAUGGUCACUACAGACCAACUGAAACUGAAAUAAAGAAUAUAAUUUCUUAAGUAUUUGAAUUCUA